rnacentral:misc_RNA from 1 species
GAGUUCAUGCCCUCACGGGUAGACCUCCCACCCUUGUGUAUUAUUACUUUGUUGCUUUGGCGAGCUGCCUUCGGGCCUUGUAUGUUCGCCAGAGAAUAUCAAAACUCUUUUUAUUAAUGUCGUCUGAGUACUAUAUAAUAGUUAAAACUUUCAACAACGGAUCUCUUGGUUCU